GGGCGUUUAGCUCAGCUGGGAGAGCGCCACCCUUACAAGGUGGAUGUCGGGGGUUCAAACCCCUCAACGCCCACCA
rnacentral:tRNA from 1 species